AAACCAACAGGGAUUGCCUUAGUAACGGCGAGUGAAGCGGCAACAGCUCAAAUUUGAAAUCUGGCCCUUGGGUCCGAAUUGUAAUUUGUAGAGGAUGAUUUUGGUGCGGUAUCUUCCGAGUUCCUUGGAACAGGACGCCUUAGAGGGUGAGAGCCCCGUACGGUUGAAUGCCUAGCCUCUGUAAAUCUCCUUCGACGAGUCGAGUAGUUUGGGAAUGCUGCUCUAAAUGGGAGGUAAAUUUCUUCUAAAGCUAAAUAUUGGCCAGAGACCGAUAGCGCACAAGUAGAGUGAUCGAAAGAUGAAAAGCACUUUGAAAAGAGGGUUAAAUAGCACGUGAAAUUGUUGAAAGGGAAGGAUUUGUGACCAGACUUUUUCUGGGCGGAUCAUCCGGGGUUCUCUCCGGUGCACUUCGCCCAGUAAAGGCCAGCAUCGGUUUUCGGCGUGGGAUAAAAGCAGUAGGAAUGUGGCUCUCUACGGGGAGUGUUAUAGCCUAUUGUAUAAUACCGCGCUGGGGACCGAGGUUCGCGCUUCUGCAAGGAUGCUGGCGUAAUGGUUAUCAAUCACCCGUCUUGAAACACGGACCAAGGAGUCGAACAUUUGUGCGAGUGUUUGGGUGUUAAACCCUCACGCGUAAUGAAAGUGAACGGAGGUGAGAGCCCUUACGGGGGUGCAUCAUCGACCGAUCCUGAAGUUUUCGGAUGGAUUUGAGUAAGAGCAUAACUGUUCGGACCCGAAAGAUGGUGAACUAUGCGUGGAUAGGGUGAAGCCAGAGGAAACUCUGGUGGAGGCUCGCAGCGGUUCUGACGUGCAAAUCGAUCGUCAAAUCUGCGCAUGGGGGCGAAA
rnacentral:rRNA from 1 species